UACGAAGGGGGCAAGCGUUACUCGGAAUUACUGGGCGUAAAGCGUGCGUAGGUGGUUCGUUAAGUCUGUCGUGAAAGCCCCGGGCUCAACCUGGGAAUGGCGAUGGAUACUGGCGGGCUAGAGUGCGGUAGAGGGUGGUGGAAUUCCCGGUGUAGCAGUGAAAUGCGUAGAGAUCGGGAGGAACAUCAGUUGCGAAGGCGGCCACCUGGACCAGCACUGACACUGAGGCACGAAAGCCAGGGGAGCGAACGGG
rnacentral:rRNA from 1 species